AAAGUUUGUUGAGAGAAAAAGAUGGAAGUGGUGAUGUUUGGGCUUAAUGAGAUGAAGAAUGAAUAAGGUUGUUCCACCCUUAUGGGUGUUCGAUGAAGUUGUUGUCGUUGUGAAGUUGUGAUGUUGUUAUGGUGUGUAGUGAUGAAGAUGUUGUUGUUGUGAAGAAAGAGUAUGAAAAUGUUGUUGGAUGAAGAAGAGAGAGUUGAUAUGGUAUAGUGAUGAAAAUGUUGUUGUUGUGAAGAAAGAGUAUGAAUAUGUUGUUGGAUGAAGAAGAG
rnacentral:lncRNA from 1 species